GGGAAGGUGGCUCAGGGGUAGAGCGCUUGCCUCGCAUGCAUGAGGCUCUGGGUUUGAUUCCUUAGCAUCCUA
rnacentral:tRNA from 1 species